AGGCUGGACCUGGGAAGGAGCAG
rnacentral:piRNA from 1 species